CCUACGGGUGGCUGCAGUGAGGAAUAUUGGUCAAUGGGCGAGAGCCUGAACCAGCCAAGUCGCGUGAGGGAGUACUGCCCUAUGGGUUGUAAACCUCUUUUGUCGGGGAGCAAAAGCCGGACGUGUCCGGCUGUGAGAGUACCCGAAGAAAAAGCAUCGGCUAACUCAGUGCCAGCAGCCGCGGUAAUACGGAGGAUGCGAGCGUUAUCCGGAUUUAUUGGGUUAAAAGGGUGCGCAGGCGGAUUUUUAAGUCAGCGGUAAAAUCGUGGGGAUCAAACCCAUCCAGCCGUUGAAACUGGGGAUCUAGAGUGUGCGAGAGGUAUGCGGAAUGCGUGGUGUAGCGGUGAAAUGCAUAGAUAUUAGGAGGAACACCAGUGGCGAAGGCGGCUUACUGGACUGUAACUGACGUUGAGGCUCGAAAGCGUGGGGAGCAAACAGGAUUAGAUACCCCGGUAGUC
rnacentral:rRNA from 1 species